rnacentral:lncRNA from 1 species
CAUUUUUUUCCUUUGCUCUGCUAGCCACCAUUCUUGCUCCAGAGCUGCCCUGGAAGACGCUGGUCUAGCAACCAAUGUCCAGCGCGUCCUGCCGUACGGAGAGAACUUGAGUUUUCCUGGGACACUUAAAACACAGAAGAGCUAAGCCAAAAAUUAGAUGCCAAAGCAAGAGAGCAUGAAACAAGCAUCAUGUCCAAAAUCAAGUAGGAAAGCUUAUUAUAUAAACUAGAAAAGUUUAUUAUUAUUAUUAUUAUUAUUGUUAUUAUUACUCUUGCUAUUAUUAUUAUUUGGAUGGAGACUUUUCUUUCUCUGUGGUUAUAAAACGUGCGCUCCAACCAGCGGUGCCGCCGGCCCGGCCGGAGGGCGCUGGGCCCGGAGGUGUCGCUGGGAGAGGUUGCCCCGGCCUGGCCGGAUUCGCCCGCGGCAGGAGGGCAUCGACGUGGACGUGCGCGACGUUGCGGAGAAGAGGGGACUCGGGCAGCGAGCUGACGCCGUCCCAGCGGGACAGGGACGUCGAUGGGCGCUUUGUGGAAAUGCUGGAUUCUCUCCAAGUGGAAACAUCAAAUAUUUAAGGGAACCUGCUGAACGGAUGAAAACCUUCAGCUAUAGACCUGGACUGUCCGGUGGGCACCGAGCGCCACUCCAGGUCUUUUGGGAGCUGCCUUCCCACAGGGGAAAUAUUUUCCAAGCAGGCAGAGGGCUGCGAGGAGCCCCACAGCCUAAUUUUGGUGACCGGUCGCACAAUAGUCAUUUUGUCAGGGAAAAGUAAAUCUCCUGGUAAGUGGAGAUUGGAGCGAUGAGAGCUAUAGUAAAUAGGGAUGAAUUCAAGGGUGACUUUGGCCAA